rnacentral:rRNA from 1 species
AAAUAGAACUUUGCAGAGAGAGUUAAGAGGGCGUGAAACCGUUAAUUGGCAAACGAAUCGGAGCCACGAAGUCGUUUCGUCGAGCUAGGUCGGGUUCAGCUUGCAACCUUCGGGUUGCUGGCGUAUUCUCGUGCCAAGCCAAUGUAAGCGUACACUGCAACCAGUUAGACAAUUGUCCAUGGAACCAGUUGAUCUUGGAUGCGCAAGCAUCUAAGUUUAGCGAACGGUUUGUUUGGUCAGGUUAGUAGUAGUGUGCUGUGGACUUGUCCUCAGUGUGCUGCUGGAUCUGUUGCCAAGUGACCUAUGGGCAAAUACUGACUGGCAAAAUGAAAAUCGCGCGCAAGCGUGUGCACAAAUUGCGCCUUGUUGUAUGAUAGGCUACACAAUCCACCGUGGAUAUAUUAAAGUUCGGUGCUUUUGAAUUUGGACUUGCUAGCUACCAAUGGGGCAACUCUUGGUGCUAGUAUAGCUUCCAUCUAAUCGGGUGCUGGCUUGUAUUCACGUCGUUGUGGUUGUGCUACGAUCGGUAUACAUAUAAGCGAGUGCGUGAAAAUUGGCAGUGAGUAGGUCGGCUUUCCGAACGA